rnacentral:lncRNA from 1 species
AUGAAGCCACCUUCAGUGAAGCAAUGGACAGUGACUAUAUGGAUAGGUAUUUACUGGUCUCUAAAACUCUGGGUUCCUUGCUAUUUGCAAUUUUUUUUUUUUUUUUUUUGGUAAGGAAGAUUGGCCCUGAUCUAACAUCUGUUGCCAAUCUUCCUCUUUUUGCUUGAGGAAGAUUAUCACUGAGCUAACAUCUGUGCCAGUCUUCCUCUAUUUUGUAUGUGGGAUGCCACCAACUGCAUGGCUUGGUGAGCAGUGUGUGUGUCUGGACCUGGGACCUGAACCAGUGAACCCCGGGACACCAAAGUGGAGUGCAUGAACCUAACUACUAUGCCACCGGGCCGGCCCUGCUAUUUCUUCUGUAGGAACAUCACAUUCUGGCCACCAGCGAUACUAAGAAGUGGACUCGGGGUCCUGUUUCCUUGGAAGCUGCCAAGUUAAGAUAAGCGUGGAAUGCUGUGUCCAAACCCCUUAGGGCCUGGUUUGGAAACCAAAGCUGCUUCCUUGUGUCAAAGUGACCCAUGGCCUCGGCGCCUCCAGGCAAGAGCUGCUGCACAUUCCCACUGAGGGACCCAGACAGCAGAGCUGCUCAAGUCUGGGAUGUGAGGAAACACAGUUUCCCAGGACACCGUAACUGACGCCCGUGAACGAAAGCAGUUGUUCCAGCUUCACUCCUUCUACCAACCCGCACCUGCGUCACGUUGAGUGGUCUGCCCGCUGGAUUCGCAGGGAACGCAGUUGCAUUUUUACCCAAAGGCAGUACAGACACAGUGAAAGCUUUUAAGAUCUCCAAGUCUUAAACACCUUUCGUCUCCAGAACCGGGCAUAAGCCUGGCACAAAGUCUCUGUUCCACGCCUCUACGGAUUGUUUGUUACCAUGGCCAAGUUCCUUUUUCUGUAGAAGGUGCCACUCCAACAUCGUGUGGAUAGGAAGGAAAGUGUGGUAUCUGCAGCUGUACCUUCUAGGUGUGGCCCUUGUUGCUAGUAAACAUAAAGCUUGAUCUUUCUCUCUAGUUCAAAUCCAUUGGGCCACAAAUUAACAAAGACUUUCAGCAACGUUUCUCUUAUUUCGGUCCGCAAACCACCUGGACCAGGGUCACCUGAGAUGCUAUUUUAAAAAUGCAAAUUCCUGUCUCCACUCCAGAUGAACCGAAUUGGAGCCUCUCUCCCUGGAAACCAGGGUCUUCAUCUUUCACACACUCCCCUGCGUGAUGUUUGUGCGCACUACGGUUUGAGAACAGCUAAUCCAGACGGUGUGAUUUUUUUUUCUUUUCUAAGUUCUGCUCAUCUAAUAAAUCAACGGGAACGUAUUGAUUCACUGGUCCAUUCAGCCAACAUUUACUGAGGGCCAGGUACAGAGGUAACUACAGCGAAAAAGGCUCGGGGAGCUUACAGUUUUCCAGUAAACUCAUCUGUCAAGACCAUUUGCCCUGAUCUGAGAGAGAUUUUGUUUCACUUUUUUUAGACCAAAAGGAAGAAAAGUGGCAGCACACUUUCUGCCCAGCAGUCACAUUUGCUGAUAUUUACAGGCUCGGUUGUCUACAGGGGUUACUUCUCAGAGGAUGGGGUGCUGGGGAGUGGGAAGAGAAAUAUGCUUGAUUGUGCUGCCUCAGUUCUUAUUGUCCCCUCUAGUCUAG